rnacentral:tRNA from 1 species
GAUGCUAUGGCCGAGUUGGUUAGGUGGCGCUCUGCAAAAGCGUUUACACGGGUUCGAGUCCCGUUAGCAUCUC